GACGAACGCUGGCGGCGUGCCUAAUACAUGCAAGUAGAACGCACAGUUUAUACCGUAGCUUGCUACACCAUAGACUGUGAGUUGCGAACGGGUGAGUAACGCGUAGGUAACCUGCCUGGUAGCGGGGGAUAACUAUUGGAAACGAUAGCUAAUACCGCAUAAUAUUGAUUAUUGCAUGAUAAUUGAUUGAAAGAUGCUAUUGCAUCACUACCAGAUGGACCUUCGUUGUAUUAGCUAGUAGGUGAGGUAACGGCUCACCUAGGCGACGAUACAUAGCCGACCUGAGAUGGUGAUCGGCCACACUGGGACUGAGACACGGCCCAGACUCCUACGGGAGGCAGCAGUAGGGAAUCUUCGGCAAUGGACGAAAGUCUGACCGAGCAACGCCGCGUGAGUGAAGAAGGUUUUCGGAUCGUAAAGCUCUGUUGUAAGAGAAGAACGGGUGUGAGAGUGGAAAGUUCACACUGUGACGGUAUCUUACCAGAAAGGGACGGCUAACUACGUG
rnacentral:rRNA from 1 species